GAUGAACGCUGGCGGCGUGCCUAAUACAUGCAAGUCGAGCGAAUGGAUUAAGAGCUUGCUCUUAUGAAGUUAGCGGCGGACGGGUGAGUAACACGUGGGUAACCUGCCCAUAAGACUGGAUAACUCCGGGAAACCGGGGCUAAUACCGGAUAACAUUUUGAACCGCAUGGUUCGAAAUUGAAAGGCGGCUUCGGCUGUCACUUAUGGAUGGACCCGCGUCGCAUUAGCUAGUUGGUGAGGUAACGGCUCACCAAGGCAACGAUGCGUAGCCGACCUGGGAGGGUGAUCGGCCACACUGGGACUGAGACACGGCCCAGACUCCUACGGGAGGCAGCAGUAGGGAAUCUUCCGCAACGGACGAAAGUCUGACGGAGCAACGCCGCGUGAGUGAUGAAGGCUUUCGGGUCGUAAAACUCUGUUGUUAGGGAAGAACAAGUGCUAGUUGAAUAAGCUGGCACCUUGACGGUACCUAACCAGAAAGCCACGGCUAACUACGUGCCAGCCGCCGCCGUAA
rnacentral:rRNA from 1 species